CAGUAGCCGCGGGAAUACGAAGGGGGCUAGCGUUGCUCGGAAUGACUGGGCGUAAAGGGCGCGUAGGCGGUUUUGACAGUCAGAUGUGAAAUUCCUGGGCUUAACCUGGGGGCUGCAUUUGAGACGUCAAGACUAGAGUGUGAGAGAGGGUUGUGGAAUUCCCAGUGUAGAGGUGAAAUUCGUAGAUAUUGGGAAGAACACCGGUGGCGAAGGCGGCAACCUGGCUCAUUACUGACGCUGAGGCGCGAAAGCGUGGGGAGCAAACAGGAUUAGAUACCUGGGUAGUCCCUGUCUCUUAUAC
rnacentral:rRNA from 1 species